CCUACGGGAGGCAGCAGUGAGGAAUAUUGGUCAAUGGCCGGAAGGCUGAACCAGCCAAGCCGCGUGAAGGACGAAGGUGCCAAGCAUUGUAAACUUCUUUUGUCAAGGGACAAAAUCAGGCUCGAGAGCCUGACCGAGGGUACUUGAAGAAAAAGCAUCGGCUAACUCCGUGCCAGCAGCCGCGGUAAUACGGAGGAUGCGAGGGUUAUCCGGAUUUAUGGGGUUUAAGGGGUGCGUAGGGGGACUGUUAAGUCAGCGGUAAAAGCCCGGGGCUAAACCCCGGCGAGCCGUUGAAACUGGCUGUCUUGAGAUGUCGAGAGGUAUGCGGAAUGCGCAGUGUAGCGGUGAAAUGCUUAGAUAUUGCGCAGAACUCCGAUUGCGAAGGCAGCAUACCGGCGGCGGUCUGACGCUGAGGCACGAAAGCGUGGGUAUCGAACAGGAUUAGAUACCCUUGUAGUC
rnacentral:rRNA from 1 species